rnacentral:rRNA from 1 species
UACGUAGGGUGCAAGCGUUGUCCGGAAUUAUUGGGCGUAAAGAGCGUGUAGGCGGCCCGAUUAGUCCGCUGUGAAAGUCCAGGGCUCAACCCUGGAAUGCCGGUGGAAACUGUCGGGCUAGAGUCCGGAAGGGGCGAGUGGAAUUCCUGGUGUAGCGGUGAAAUGCGCAGAUAUCAGGAGGAACACCAGUGGCGAAGGCAGCUCGCUGGGACGUGACUGACGCUGAGGUGCGAAAGCGUGGGGAGCAAACAGG